GACGAACGCUGGCGGCGCGCCUAACACAUGCAAGUCGAACGAGCGAGAGGAGGUUUCCUUUCUCAAGCGAGUGGCGAACGGGUGCGUAACGCGUGAGGAACCUGCCUCAAAGAGGGGGACAACAGUUGGAAACGACUGCUAAUACCGCAUAAGCCCACGACCCGGCAUCGGGUCGAGGGAAAAGCGGCAAUCCGCUUUGAGAUGGCCUCGCUUCCGAUUAGCUAGGUGGUGAGGUAAUGGGCCACCAAGGCGACGGUCGGUAGCCGGACUGAGAGGUUGAACGGCCACAUUGGGACUGGGACACGGCCCAGACUACUACGGGAGGCAGCAGUGGGGAAUAUUGCAAAAUGGGGGAAACCCUGAUGCAGCGACGCCGCGUGGAGGAAGAAGGUCUUCGGAUUGUAAACUCCUGUUGUUGAGGAAGAUAAUGACGGUAUUCAACAAGGAAGUGACGGCUAACUACGUG
rnacentral:rRNA from 1 species